ensembl:ncRNA mir-2281 mir-2281 stem loop
GGAUGUCGAGCAGUACACGUAUUAUCUGCAGCUGCAGAUGCAAAUGUAUAUGUAUCUGUAUCUGUAUCUGCAGUAUUGCAGUAUCGCUGCUUUAUUCAUAUCC